rnacentral:rRNA from 1 species
GAUGAACGCUGGCGGCGUGCCUAAUACAUGCAAGUCGAGCGAAUAGACGAGGAGCUUGCUCCUCUGACGUUAGCGGCGGACGGGUGAGUAACACGUGGAUAACCUACCUAUAAGACUGGGAUAACUUCGGGAAACCGGAGCUAAUACCGGAUAAUAUAUUGAACCGCAUGGUUCAAUAGUGAAAGACGGUUUUGCUGUCACUUAUAGAUGGAUCCGCGCCGCAUUAGCUAGUUGGUAAGGUAACGGCUUACCAAGGCAACGAUGCGUAGCCGACCUGAGAGGGUGAUCGGCCACACUGGAACUGAGACACGGUCCAGACUCCUACGGGAGGCAGCAGUAGGGAAUCUUCCGCAAUGGGCGAAAGCCUGACGGAGCAACGCCGCGUGAGUGAUGAAGGUCUUCGGAUCGUAAAACUCUGUUAUUAGGGAAGAACAAAUGUGUAAGUAACUACGCACGUCUUGACGGUACCUAAUCAGAAAGCCACGGCUAACUACGUG